rnacentral:lncRNA from 1 species
CUCACUAUUCAUCAUCCUCUUCUUCAAAAUCCCUAACCCUAGCUGCUGCAACUUCAUACGCCCUACCUACCACGCCCGUGCGCCGACUACAACACCACUUUUGAUGAUCCAAAGCUCCUCCCUCUUGCGUUUGUUCAUUUUUUCACUCUAUUUUCUUCAUUCUUUCACUUAUUUCAUGAUAUUUUGUUUUUAUUUUGAGCACAUAAUCAUAGUUAUCAUGAUAGAAACUUGUCAUGUUGUGUUGCAUUCAUG